rnacentral:rRNA from 1 species
CCUACGGGUGGCAGCAGUGGGGAAUAUUGGGCAAUGGGCGCAAGCCUGACCCAGCAACGCCGCGUGAAGGAAGAAGGCCUUCGGGUUGUAAACUUCUUUUCUCAGGGACGAAGAAAGUGACGGUACCUGAGGAAUAAGCCACGGCUAACUACGUCCCAGCCGCCGCGGUAAUACGUAGGUGGCAACCGUUAUGCGGAUUUAUGGGGUGUAAGGGGGGUGAAGGCGGGAGGUCAAGUCAGAUGUGAAACCUCAGGGCCCAACCCUGGGCCUGCCAUUGAAACUGUGUUUCUGGAGUGCUGGUGGGGCAGGCGGAAUGCCUGGUGUAGCGGUGAAAUGCGUAGAUAUAAGGAGGAACACCAGUGGCGAAGGCGGCUUGCUGGACAGCAACUGACGCUGAGGCGCGAAAGCGUGGGGAGCAAACAGGAUUAGAUACCCCAGUAGUC